UUUGCCAUCGCGCUAUCUGCAGUCGAGCGACAGAAAGGAGCUUGCUCCUUUGACGUUAGCGGCGGACGGGUGAGUAACACGUGGGCAACUUCCCCUAUAGUUUGGGAUAAUUCCGGGAAACCGGGGCUAAUACCGGAAUAAUUUCUUUUGCUUCAUGGCCAAGAGACUGAAAGACGGUUUCGGCUGUCGCUAUAGGAUGGGCCCGCGGCGCAUUAGCUAGUUGGUGAGGUAACGGCUCACCAAGGCGACGAUGCGUAGCCGACCUGAGAGGGUGAUCGGCCACACUGGGACUGAGACACGGCCCAGACUCCUACGGGAGGCAGCAGUAGGGAAUCUUCCACAAUGGGCGAAAGCCUGAUGGAGCAAC
rnacentral:rRNA from 1 species